GACUUCUCGCACCUCGACAUCGAGAACGCGGAGGCGCACCGGCCGACGGGGCGCGAAGAGGGCGGCUCGAGCCGGCACGACU
rnacentral:sRNA from 1 species